AAACUUUGAUUUAGAUCGCUGCGUCACUCAGAAACUUGUCAGUUGUGGCAUAUUUGGAACCAAUGACGAGUCACUUCUCCUUCUCUUCCUCCUGUAUUAUUCAGACUGGUCUCUGUGUCGUCUACGUUUGUAUCCAGGGUAACGUGUUAGAAUAUUAAGGUAGAAAUGUAGAACCUACAAGCCUCUGUGACAUGUAGAAUGAGGAAUCAUGUCAUUUCUAUCUGAAACGUUCCGGAAGGAAGCUGGUCGAGGCCGUGUUCUUCCUCUGUGACAUGUAGAAUGAGGAAUCAUGUCAUUUCUAUCUGAAACGUUCCGGAAGGAAUCUGGUCGAGGCCGUGUUCUUCCUCUGUGACUGACUUCCUGUUUUCUCCUCUCAGGUACACCAUAUUCAAGGACCACGUGUCUCUGGGAGACUAUGAGAUCCAUGAUGGGCAGAACCUGGAGCUGUACUACCAGUAGAAGACUGAGGACACCACACACACACACACACCUAUGUAUUAACAAGGCUUGAGUUUGUUGAUCAUUGGAUCAGGGUUUUUUGCGGAAGACAUUGAUGAUGUUCUAGUGAUGAAAUGUUUUGAUAUUGUUUGGAAAUAAAAACAAAUAUUUAUAUUAGUUUAA